UCCUCUUUGGGUUUUCCUUUUUGGGCUUCCCCUUAAGGUUUUUAAAACGCAUCUGCUAGGGAGAGGUUUCCACACCCUCAUAAAGGGUGUUUCUUUCUCGUCUCAAUAUGGGAUAUGACAACAAAGAUGUUGUCCAUAGAUGAAAUUAUUUUGUGGAUUGGAAGACUGUCUACGGCUCCAUUGCGUGUGCUCAGGGUAGAAGUUUGUAUAAAUGUAUUGCCAUGCUAUUAAGUAUUUUGAUUUAAGUUCGAGUUUUUGCAUUUUAUGAUCUCGAGACUGAUGCUUCAUAAAAAUGAAUUAUAUGGUUCAUUGCUGUCUGGCUGUGUUUCUUAGUUGCCACAAAUUUUGAGAGUUUAGCCUCUUCAAAAGCUUUUCUGGUUGUUACUAACAUAUUUUGUUGCAGUUGUUAGCAUUGGUGCUGCACUCUUCCUGUUCCAGCAGCUAUCCGGGAUUAACGCCGUCGUAUAUUAUUCGACUUCGGUAUUUCGUAGUGCUGGAGUUGCUUCCGACAUUGCAGCGAGUGCUCUCGUUGCAGCAGCUAACGUCUUUGGCACGACCAUUGCAUCUUCUUUAAUGGAUCGUCAGGGACGGAAAAGUCUUCUCACAAUUAGCUUUUGUGGAAUGGCUGCAUCUAUGUUGCUGCUGUCUUUGACCUUCAGUUGGAGCGCCUUGGCACCCUAUUCUGGCACCCUNUG